rnacentral:rRNA from 1 species
UACGGAGGAUCCAAGCGUUAUCCGGAUUCAUUGGGUUUAAAGGGUGCGUAGGCGGCCUUGUAAGUCAGUGGUGAAAUCUCCUCGCUUAACGAGGAAACUGCCAUUGAUACUGCAGGGCUUGAGUACAGUUGCUGUGGGCGGAAUAUGACAUGUAGUGGUGAAAUACAUAGAGAUGUCAUAGAACACCAAUUGCGAAGGCAGCUCGUUACACGAAUAUUGACUCUGAGGCACGAAAGCGCGGGGAUCAAACAGG